rnacentral:lncRNA from 1 species
CCUGACCUCAGGGGCCCGGUGCCUGUACGGGUAGGAAGCGGGCAUCUCGCCAGCAGCCACCGAACCUGGAAUGGGUACUGCGAGGCAGACACAGCCUGCGACUUGGAGGAAACCAGGGCUGUCUAGAGAGCGCUCAUCCUGCACAAAAGUGCACGGGCUCAUCCGGCGGGUGCUAUAAAUCACCUCGCCUUAGCAGGCUGGGGACGGCAGGGCCUCUGGUUAUUAACUGUAAGUGAGUUGCAUUUCUUUACAAAGAUAAUCUGGUGGCAGGGAGUUCAGAGAUUUUUAUUACCCAGUGACAAACAUGAUAAUUAAUGCUGGGUAGCUUCAUAAAAGGCCACGGGAAAGAGGAAGAAAAACCUUAAUUUAGCUGGCCAAGCCCUCAAGUAGAGCCACUCUGGAAAAACAGAGUUUAAAUUUAGCAAAUUGAGAUAAAUGGAGUUCAAAGGAGCGGGAAAGAGAAGAAUUGAGUUGGAACACCCCCUCUCUGCCCUGGUGGCCUCUGCCUGCUGGACAGUGGGCCAGCCAAGGAGCAGGGCCUCACAGGCUGUGGCUGAACCAGAGGUCUCUCCACCCAGGGCCGUCCCAGGAGGAAGACGGGUUGCCCGAGGAACACUUCACCGCAGACGCAAGACAGAAAACACUUCGCUCCCAGGCUUUGAAAAUUAACAACAGGGAAACGUAAAGGCAUUUGAUAGAUUUAACAAAGAACAAACCAGUUCUGUGUUCUGAUUCACUUAAGCAGAGAGACAGAGAGAAGAAAGAAAAUGGGGGUGGACUGAAGGCGGGGCGGGGGGAAUGGGCAGAGUGUUUUCAACUCCUCAGCAGAAGAAGGGGGCAGACAGAGAGGGGAGAAGGAAAGUGGGCGGGGGGAAGAGGGACAGAAAGAGAGAACACGUCAACAGCUACCAUUUAUUGUGGGCCAGGAGCCUCAAUGUAUUAUUUAUAACUUAAUCUUCCUGGGCACCCUGCAAGGCAGGUGCUAUCGGCCCCAUUUCCCAGGUGGGAGAACGGCAACUGGGCCUAAAUGGCUCAUCCAAGACCAUCAAGCUGGUGAAAGGCAGAGCCUCACCUUCCACAGCUGCACAAAGUCAACCAGAGAGUGAAGACAGAGAUACGUAGAGAAAGAAAGACAAAUGUGAGGACCAAGGGACCAAAAGACAGGGCAAAGACAGAUGGGACCCAGGAAUGGGGGUCGAGAGGAGGCCAGCCACAUGGUACACUCGCCCUUCCGGCCCCCUCCAGCCCUGAUCCAGAAAUAAGUCCUGGCCCAGCAAGUGUUCCAGAGCGGACCAGCAUCUGCAAAAAUUGGAACAGACAAGAUGAAGCAUGUGCUUUGGGGAGGAGCUGGAAAGGGCUGGGGUGGGCUGGACUAUGCUCUGGUGUGGAGGGAAGAGAGAAGUGGCACCUCUCUCCUUCCUAGGUGCCCCACAGAAGAGAAGGGCUGGGCCAGGCCUGGCAUGUUGAGGAGGGGCAGGUCUGUUGCAGAGGAGGGGCCGGGGAGGCUGGAAGUCAUGGGUUGUCCUCUGCUCAGAGCCCUUCUCCAGCCCCGUCAUGGGCACGGCAGCUACGAGCACUGUCACCUCUCGGUGUGGCGCACCCUCCCCACCUCAUUCCCCACGCGGGGGCUCAGGCAUUCUCACAAGCCUGCUCCCGGUCCCUCCCCAUAGGGUGGCCACGGGGAUUAAGUGAAACAAGGCCAGGCACCAUCUGAAGCCCUCGGCGGCAGCACUCCCCUUGGGUGGUGGGCCCCCCUUGCCAUCGGGUGCCCGCCGGGUGUGCGAUGAGUGCCUGCGUACGGGUCUGCCUCCCUCACUAGCUCGUGGGCUCUUUGUGGGGAGGGAUUGCAUGCGACUCCCGCUCUGUGCCCAGUAACUACACGGCGCACAGAGAUGCCCAUGGAGUGCUGAGCAGGUGAAUGGAAGGGAGGCCUGGGCUCUGCCGGGAUGGGAGGCUUGGGCUGUGCCAGGAAGGGCCUGGAAUGCCAAGCCAAGGAGUUUAGCCACAAUCACGCGGUGGUGGAGUGUGUGCGUGACAAGGUCCAGGCUUCCUCUGGAGGGGCACGCAGGGGAGGGAGCCAGGUCAUUAGGGUCCGCGGUGUUGAGAUGCAGCUGCCUCUCAGGGGCACUUAUGUGGGCAUCUCACAUGUGAAAGUCCCACUGCUUUACAGCUUGUGUGUGUGUGUGUGUGUAUGUAUGUAUGGGGUGUGGGGUGAGUGUGUAUGUGUGGUGAAUGAAUGUGUGUGGUGUAUGUAGGUGUAUGGGGGCGUGUGUGUGUGCUGAGGGGUAUGGGUGUGUGGAUGUGUGUGUAGGGAGAGUGUGUGUGUGUCAAGGAGUGUGGUGUGUAGUGUAUGAGGGGACUAUGUGUAGUGUGUGGGGUGUGUGCAUGAGGCGAGUGUGUGUAAUGUGUGGGGUGUGUGUGUGGAAUGUGUGAGGGGAGUGUGUAGUGUGUGAAGGGAGUGUGUGGUGUGUGUGUGGGAGGGAGUGUGGGUGAUAGGUGUGUGUGUGGGAGUGUGGGUGGUGUGUAGUGUGUGUGGGAGUGUGGGUGGUGUGUAGUGUGUGUGCCUGAGGGGAGUGUGUAGUGUAUGUAUAUGUGAGGGGAGUGUGUGUAGUGUGGGGGUGUGUGUAGGGGAAGUGUGUGUGUGUAGUGUGUAAGGGGAGUGUGUAUGUGAGGAAAGUGUGUGUAAUAUGUGUGUGGUGUGUGUGAGGGGAGUGUGUGUAGGGAGAGUGUAUGUAAUGUGUGUGGUGUGUGUGAGGGGAGUGUGGAUAUGUGUGAGCGCAGUGUGUGUAAUGUGUGUAUGUGUGAGGGGAGUGUGGAUGUAUGUGAGGGGACUGUGGGUGUGUGAGGGGAGUGUAUGUAGGGGGAGUGUAUGUAGUGUGUGUGUGUUAAGGGAGCGUGGAUGUAUGUGAGGGGUGUGUGGGUCUGUGUGUGUGGGGGAGUGUGUAAUUGUGUGUGUGAGGGGAGUGUGGAUGUAUGUGAGGGGAGUGUGGGUGUGUGGGUCUGUGUGUGGGGGGAGUGUAUGUAAUGUGUGUGUGGUGUGUGUGAGGGGAGUGUGGAUGUAUGUGAGGGGAGUGUGGGUGUGUGGGUCUGUGUGGGGGAGUGUGUAAUGUGUGUGUGUGAGGGGAGUGUGGAUGUGUGUGAGGGGAGUGUGUAAUUGUGUGUGGUGUGUUUGAGGGGAGUGUGGAUGUAUGUGAGGGGAGUGUGUGUGGGGGGAGUGUAUGUAAUGUGUGUGUGUGGUGUGUGUGAGGGGAGUGUGGAUGUACGUGAAGGGAGUGUGUAAUGCGUGUGUGUGAGGGGAGUGUGGAUGUAUGUGAUGGGAGUGUGGGUGUGUGGGUCUGUGUGUGUGGGGGAGUGUAUGUAAUGUGUGUGUGGUGUGUGUGAGGGGAGUGUGGAUGUAUGUGAGGGGAGUGUGGGUGUGUGGGUCUGUGUGGGGGAGUGUGUAAUGUGUGUGUAUGAGGGGAGUGUGAAUGUAUGUGAGGGGAGUGUGUGGGGGGAGUGUAUGUAAUGUGUGUGUAGUGUGUGUGAGGGGAGUGUGGAUGUACGUGAGGGGAGUGUGUAAUGCGUGUGUGUUAGGGGAGUGUGGAUUAUGUGAGGGGAGUGUGGGUGUGUGGGUCUGUGUGUGUGAGGGGAGUGUGUAAUGUAUGUGUGAGGGGAGUGUGGAUGUAUGUAAGGAGAGUGUGGCUGUGUGGGUCUGUGUGUGGGGGGAGUGUGUAAUGUGUGUGUGUGAG